CUCUCUCCUUAUCCAAGGGUUUUGUUGUUUAUCUCUCUUUAACGGAGAGUACAAUGAAAGGAAAUGGCAGUGCUUCGGAGCUUUUGCUUAUUAAGUGUUUUAGGUCUAACCAACUACACUUUUCAAAGCAGCUCUAGCAAGUUGGCUUGAUAACUUUUAAUCAA
rnacentral:misc_RNA from 1 species